GGUGCUAUAGUGUAGUGGUUAUCACUCGGGAUUCUGAUCUCCAAUCCAGUGGAAGUUACCUUCCCGAAACCAGGUUCGAAUCCUGGUAGCACCU